rnacentral:rRNA from 1 species
CGGACGGGUGAGUAACGCGUGGAUAACCUGCCGUAUACAGGGGGAUAACACUUAGAAAUAGGUGCUAAUACCGCAUAAGCGCACGGUUCCGCAUGGAACAGUGUGAAAAACUCCGGUGGUAUGCGAUGGGCCCGCGUCUGAUUAGCUUGUUGGCGGGGCAGCGGCCCACCAAGGCGACGAUCAGUAGCCGGCCUGAGAGGGUGGACGGCCACAUUGGGACUGAGACACGGCCCAGACUCCUACGGGAGGCAGCAG